GAUGGACGCUGACAGAAUGCUUAACACAUGCAAGUCGAUGGGGAAGUGGUGCUUGCACCAUGGCAACCAUGGCGGACGGGUGAGUAACGCGUAAGGGACUUACCUGCAGGACUGGGAUAACAGGGGGAAACUCCUGACAAGACCGGAUAAUGUCAUGGAGCUGCAUGGCUUUAUGAUGAAAGGAGACGCCUGCGGAGAGCCUUGCGUCCUAUUAGCUAGUUGGUGAGGUAAUGGCUCACCAAGGCGAAGAUAGGUAGCCGGCCUGAGAGGGUGGACGGCCACAAGGGGACUGAGAUACGGCCCUUACUCCUACGGGAGGCAGCAGUGGGGAAUAUUGGACAAUGGGGGCAACCCUGAUCCAGCAAUUCUGUGUGAACGAAGAAGGUUUUCGGAUUGUAAAGUGCUUUCAGCAGGGAAGAAGUAAGUGACGGUACCUGCAGAAGAAGCGACGGCUAAAUACGUG
rnacentral:rRNA from 1 species